CGCCGGAAGACCAAGGGUUCCUGUCCAACGUUAAUCGGGGCAGGGUGAGUCGACCCCUAAGGCGAGGCCGAAAGGCGUAGUCGAUGGGAAACAGGUUAAUAUUCCUGUACUUGGUGUUACUGCGAAGGGGGGACGGAGAAGGCUAUGUUAGCCGGGCGACGGUUGUCCCGGUUUAAGCAUGUAGGCUGGUUGUCCAGGCAAAUCCGGAUAAUCAAGGCUGAGGUGUGAUGACGAGGCACUACGGUGCUGAAGUAACAAAUGCCCUGCUUCCAGGAAAAGCCUCUAAGCAUCAGGUAACAUCAAAUCGUACCCCAAACCGACACAGGUGGUCAGGUAGAGAAUACCAAGGCGCUUGAGAGAACUCGGGUGAAGGAACUAGGCAAAAUGGUGCCGUAACUUCGGGAGAAGGCACGCUGGUGUGUAGGUGAAGUCCCUGCGGAUGGAGCUGAGACCAGUCGAAGAUACCAGCUGGCUGCAACUGUUUAUUAAAAACACAGCACUGUGCAAACACGAAAGUGGACGUAUACGGUGUGACGCCUGCCCGGUGCCGGAAGGUUAAUUGAUGGGGUUAUCCGUAAGGAGAAGCUCUUGAUCGAAGCCCCGGUAAACGGCGGCCGUAACUAUAACGGUCCUAAGGUAGCGAAAUUCCUUGUCGGGUAAGUUCCGACCUGCACGAAUGGCGUAAUGAUGGCCAGGCUGUCUCCACCCGAGACUCAGUGAAAUUGAACUCGCUGUGAAGAUGCAGUGUACCCGCGGCAAGACGGAAAGACCCCGUGAACCUUUACUAUAGCUUGACACUGAACAUUGAGCCUUGAUGUGUAGGAUAGGUGGGAGGCUUUGAAGCGUGGACGCCAGUCUGCGUGGAGCCAACCUUGAAAUACCACCCUUUAAUGUUUGAUGUUCUAACGUUGGCCCCUUACCGGGGUUGCGGACAGUGUCUGGUGGGUAGUUUGACUGGGGCGGUCUCCUCCCAAAGCGUAACGGAGGAGCACGAAGGUUAGCUAAUCCUGGUCGGACAUCAGGAGGUUAGUGCAAUGGCAUAAGCUAGCUUGACUGCGAGCGUGACGGCGCGAGCAGGUGCGAAAGCAGGUCAUAGUGAUCCGGUGGUUCUGAAUGGAAGGGCCAUCGCUCAACGGAUAAAAGGUACUCCGGGGAUAACAGGCUGAUACCGCCCAAGAGUUCAUAUCGACGGCGGUGUUUGGCACCUCGAUGUCGGCUCAUCACAUCCUGGGGCUGAAGUAGGUCCCAAGGGUAUGGCUGUUCGCCAUUUAAAGUGGUACGCGAGCUGGGUUUAGAACGUCGUGAGACAGUUCGGUCCCUAUCUGCCGUGGGCGCUGGAGAAUUGAGGGGGGCUGCUCCUAGUACGAGAGGACCGGAGUGGACGCAUCACUGGUGUUCGGGUUGUCAUGCCAAUGGCACUGCCCGGUAGCUAAAUGCGGAAGAGAUAAGUGCUGAAAGCAUCUAAGCACGAAACUUGCCCCGAGAUGAGUUCUCCCUGAGACUUUAAGUCUCCUGAAGGAACGUUAAAGACGAUGACGUUGAUAGGCCGGGUGUGUAAGCGCAGCGAUGCGUUGAGCUAACCGGUACUAAUGAACCGUGAGGCUUAACCUU
rnacentral:rRNA from 1 species